rnacentral:lncRNA from 1 species
GGUUCCCUUGGUGCCCUCAAAUGUUUCUUCUAGCUUUGCCCGUGCAUCAUGAGAAAUCUCAAUGUUUUUGAUUUGCUCAAAGGUCUUGUCAUCAAGAGCUUCAUGAAGAGCACUAAUGGCAAUAUCAUUGCAUUGUAGCUUCUUCUCGUCUACCGGUGUUGGUGCAUUCUCACUUGCAACCUCAAACUUUGUUUCAGUCACCUUCCAAACCUCUCUAUUGAUUGACUUGAGAUGGGCAGUUAUCUUGACCUUCCAAUAUGCAUAAUUGGUGCCAUCAAAGUAAGGUGCCUUCUUAGUGUUG